rnacentral:rRNA from 1 species
UACGUAGGUGGCAAGCGUUGUCCGGAGUUAUUGGGCGUAAAGCGCGCGCAGGCGGUGCGGUAAGUCUCUGGUGAAAGCGCUCGGCUUAACUGGGCGAGGGCCGGGGAGACUGCCACGCUGGAGGGGAGCAGAGGCGAGUGGAAUUCCGGGUGUAGUGGUGAAAUGCGUAGAGAUCCGGAGGAACAUCGGUGGCGAAGGCGGCGAUCUGGCCCAAUACUGACACUCAUACACGAAAGCGUGGGGAUCAAACAGG